CUGGGAUGCACGGUGCUUUUGGGAAACUUCAAGGCACAGUGGCUAGAGUCCACAUUGGCUAGGUUAUCAUGUCCAUCCGCACCAAGCUUCAAAACAAGGAGCAUGUGAUUGAGGCCUUACGCAGGGCCAAGUUCAAGUUCCCUGGGCGCCAGAAGAGCCACAUCUCCAAGAAGUGGGGCUUCACCAAGUUUAAUGCUGAUGAGUUUGAGGAUAUGGUGGCUGAGAAGCAUCUCAUCCCGGUUGGCUGUGGAGU